rnacentral:rRNA from 1 species
GAUGAACGCUGGCGGCGUGCCUAAUACAUGCAAGUCGAGCGAACAGACGAGGAGCUUGCUCCUCUGACGUUAGCGGCGGACGUGUGAGUAACACGUGGAUAACCUACCUAUAAGACUGGUAUAACUUCGGAAAACCGGCGCUAAUACCGGAUAAUAUAUUGAACCGCAUGGUUCAAUAGUGAAAGACGGUUUUGCUGUCACUUAUAGAUGGAUCCGCGCCGCAUUAGCUAGUUGGUAAGUUAACGGCUUACGAGGGCAACGAUGCGUAGCCGACCUGAGAGGGUGAUCGGCCACACUAGAACUGAGACACAGUCCAGACGCCUACGGGAAGCACCAGUAGGGAAUCGUACGCAACAGGCGGGAACCUGACAGAACAACGCCAAGUGAGUGAUAAAGGUGGUGGGAUCGUAAAACUCUGUUACGAGGGAAGAACAACUGUCGCAGUAACCAUAGACGUAUUGACGGUAACUAAUCAAGAAGCAACGGCUAACUACGUG